ensembl:lncRNA
GUUCAGACGACGUCAUUCUGAAGCGCAGCAGGCCUUCGGUGCGGUGGGAACCGUUCUGGAGAAGAGUCGUGAGCCGUAGCCUGCAGCUAUUCUACAGACGAACCAGUUAACAGAAGGGUUUGUUUGAAUUUAGUCACAAGUAUCACCACCUUUUCCUUCCCAAGGCCUUGUGAAUGUGAGUGCAGCGUUUAGCCUGCUGGAGAACCUGCAGGAACCCCAUCCUGAGAACCGCUUCUCAAGAACCCCUUCUGAGGAACCCUUUCUUCAGAACACCUUCUUCAGAACCGCUUCUCAAGAACCCCUUCUUCAAAGCACCUUCAUCAGAACACCUUGUUCAGCACCAACCCCUUAUUAUGAACACCUUCUUAAGAACGCCUUUUUAAGAACUUCUUCUCAAGAACCCCUUCUGAGGAACCCCUUCUCAAUAACACCUUCUUCAGAACUAGCUCCUUGUAUCUCAACCCCUUCUUCCGAACCCUUUCUUCAGAACUCGGUCCCUCCCGUCCGGUGCCUUCAAGGUCUGGCGCCGCUACCAGCGCGGCCAUCUUCCUGGAUUCAGGAGAACCUUAUCUCGACACCAUCUAGCGCUGUCCCCCCCGGGGGGUGGAGCCUAACACCCGCCGGGAGGGGUUAUAACCCGGUGUGGAGGCUCCCGUCUGCCUGUCUGUCAGAGACGGCCCGAGCCCCGCCCUUUACGGUCUUACGGCCGCCGCCGCUCCGGUCGCCAUGGAUACCGUUGCUGAUGUUAGCGCAACAGGACGCAGUGAGUCACCGCUUGGAUGGAUGUGGAGCAGCACUGACCCACUUUACCCGAGCCGUGAACUUCCCCUUCCCCUUUCCAGGUCAGGUCUCACAGCGGGGCUUAAGUGGCCUGGAACACGUCCAGUCACAUGGCCACGUCACAGAGAGUCAAACCGUUAAACCGCCUAAAAAUACAGCACAAUAGAAAGAUUAAAACAACUCGGUCCCUCCCGUCCGGUGCCUUCGAGGUCUGGCGCCGCUCCCAGAGCCGCCAUCUUCCUGGAUUCAGGAGAACCUUAUCUCGACACCGUCUAGCG